GGGAGCCAGAGACUCAAUAUUUCCAUGGAAAUAUGAAAUGGUGCCAGUCCUUGAGUAGGGAGCCAAACAUGGUGCAAGUCCUUCUGUAUGUCCCCUGCCUUCAGUCUUCUAGACCUCUACUGCUGGUGUUUUCAGUAUCUUCAGUUAUCUUUUUUGAGGCGAACAUUUGGAGAGACUGGCAAAAAAUGACUGAUGAAUAAAACUACAACAACAGCAGUUAAGCCAACAUCAGAUCAGCUCACUGACGCUGAACUACCAGUACCUGCUUGAAAUGUGGGUCGGAGUGCAGAGAUGCCCCACAGCAUUGAAUAACUUCCGGCUGGAGCUUGUCUGGAACUUCCUGGAGUUCAUUUGAACCAUCUGUAAUUCAGGCUGAUGAGUCUGUGGUUGGUCAUCUACACUACGAAAUGAGGAGACUUCUUGGCUUGUUCUGAUGUCUGCCAUCCCUUCAUGCAGUCUACUGUCCUAAGAAUCGCCAUGGCGAUGACCUAGGUGUCGGAACGCUAACCAGAACCUACCUUAUUGAAAACCUAGACAUUCUCAUUCUUCAAGGUUCAUGGAGGUCAUAGCCAAGAUAAUACAGAUGUCCCUGUUUCAAGAUUUAUUCCUGCAAACCAACACCAAACGGACGGAUAAAGUAUCAGCUAAUUCAUUUGUGUCCUUUGCUUGGAGCUGCUUCACAUGGAAUUUUUCCAAGAAGUCUUUGACUGUAGACAUGGCAAGAAGACAGAUUGCACUUAUCAAACCAAGUCUCUCACCACUUUCUGGCAACUAAUGGAAAAGCUGAGAAUACCAGUGGGGAUUGCCAGCACUUGCACUGUCAGUGUUGAAUUUUGCACAAAAUAACAGAUUCAGAGCAUUGCUUCUCUCUCGUCUGAAAAAAAAAAAAAAAAAAUAAAAGGAGAAACUUAUCAAUGAUCUAUUUCCUGUCUGUAUUUAAUAAUUGAACAGUGACUGAAUGCUACCUUGGAUGUACUGGCAAGCUGAAGAUACAAAGAUAAAGAUUAUUUAUUAAACUUACUAAACAUGACAUUACAGAAUAAUCUGUUGUGAUAGUGAAAUAGACAUUAAAAGUAUUAAGAUAAGUGCAAAUUUAAUAGUUCAUGAUUGACAUUAACAGGUACUGAAUGUAUCAUUAAAGGAUGUUCAAGUAUGACAGUGAAAUAGACAUUAAACCAGCGUGUUAACAAUAAUGUUAGUUUAUUUUAUAGUGUUUCAGACCCGAUCAUCAAUACAAAUUUCGAUGUUGUA
rnacentral:lncRNA from 1 species